CAGUAGCCGCGGUAAUACAGAGGGUGCAAGCGUUAAUCGGAAUUACUGGGCGUAAAGCGCGCGUAGGUGGUUUGUUAAGUUGGAUGUGAAAGCCCCGGGCUCAACCUGGGAACUGCAUCCAAAACUGGCAAGCUAGAGUACGGUAGAGGGUGGUGGAAUUUCGUGUGUAGCGGUGAAAUGCGUAGAUAUAGGAAGGAACACCAGUGGCGAAGGCGACCACCUGGACUGAUACUGACACUGAGGUGCGAAAGCGUGGGGAGCAAACAGGAUUAGAUACCCCCGUAGUCCCUGUCUCUUAUAC
rnacentral:rRNA from 1 species